GGGCCCGUAGCUCAGCAAGGUUAGAGCGCCCGGCUCAUAACCGGGUGGUCGUGGGUUCAAAUCCCACCGGGCCCA
rnacentral:tRNA from 1 species